rnacentral:rRNA from 1 species
UACGGGGGGGGUAAGCGUUGUUCGGAAUUACUGGGCGUAAAGGGCUCGUAGGCGGCCAACUAAGUCGGACGUGAAAUCCCUCAGCUUAACUGGGGAACUGCGUGUGAUACUGGAUGGCUUGGAUUUGGGAGAGGGAUGCGGAAUUCCAGGUGUAGCGGUGAAAUGCGUAGAUAUCUGGAGGAACACCGGUGGCGAAGGCGGCAUCCUGGACCAAUAUUGACGCUGAGGAGCGAAAGCCAGGGGAGCAAACGGGG